CAUUUGGAUCUCCAAUCAUUAUUUAUCAUCUGAGAGAUUCAGAUUUCUCCCUCAGUCUACUUUUGGACGUUCACAAUGUCUGCAUUUUGGAGUCAGAAGAGAAAGCCAUGAGGAGAGGAAAAAGUAACUUCAAUAAACUAUUUAACACAAAGAACUGGAUGGCAGCCGUCAGCCUGAAUGAAUCAUGGAGUGAGAGACUAAGGUGAAUAGUACCUUCAAGGAUCUCCAAGGCUCCAUACAAAGUAGUGCAUGGCUUUCAGAUUCUUCACCAGAGCAAGGGUAUUAAACAAAAGGGCCCCAGGUGUCCCCCUGUAAGCUACCCAAUUAGGGUUAUUAAUUUGUAAAAUUAUUUUAGGGAUUUAAUUAUGUUAUCUUUCUUCAGAGUUCAUUUGUAUUCCCUAAUUUCUGUAAAGGUCUGCUGAAUAUUUA
ensembl:lncRNA novel transcript